rnacentral:rRNA from 1 species
UUAAGCGACUAAGCGUACACGGUGGAUGCCCUGGCAGUCAGAGGCGAUGAAGGACGUGCUAAUCUGCGAAAAGCGUCGGUAAGGUGAUAUGAACCGUUAUAACCGGCGAUGUCCGAAUGGGGAAACCCAGUGCAAUUCGUUGCACUAUCGUUAACUGAAUACAUAGGUUAACGAGGCGAACCGGGGGAACUGAAACAUCUAAGUACCCCGAGGAAAAGAAAUCAACCGAGAUUCCCCCAGUAGCGGCGAGCGAACGGGGAGCAGCCCAGAGUCUGAAUCAGCUUGUGUGUUAGUGGAACGGUCUGGAAAGUCCGACGGUACAGGGUGAUAGUCCCGUACACCAAAAUGCACAGGCUGUGAACUCGAAGAGUAGGGCGGGACACGUGGUAUCCUGUCUGAAUAUGGGGGGACCAUCCUCCAAGGCUAAAUACUCCUGACUGACCGAUAGUGAACCAGUACCGUGAGGGAAAGGCGAAAAGAACCCCGGCGAGGGGAGUGAAAAAGAACCUGAAACCGUGUACGUACAAGCAGUGGGAGCACCUUCGGGUGUGACUGCGUACCUUUUGUAUAAUGGGUCAGCGACUUAUAUUCUGUAGCAAGGUUAACCGUAUAGGGGAGCCGCAGGGAAACCGAGUCUUAACUGGGCGUUAAGUUGCAGGGUAUAGACCCGAAACCCGGUGAUCUAGCCAUGGGCAGGUUGAAGGUUGGGUAACACUAACUGGAGGACCGAACCGACUAAUGUUGAAAAAUUAGCGGAUGACUUGUGGCUGGGGGUGAAAGGCCAAUCAAACCGGGAGAUAGCUGGUUCUCCCCGAAAGCUAUUUAGGUAGCGCCUCGUGAACUCAUCUUCGGGGGUAGAGCACUGUUUCGGCUAGGGGGUCAUCCCGACUUACCAACCCGAUGCAAACUACGAAUACCGAAGAAUGUUAUCACGGGAGACACACGGCGGGUGCUAACGUCCGUCGUGAAGAGGGAAACAACCCAGACCGCCAGCUAAGGUCCCAAAGUCAUGGUUAAGUGGGAAACGAUGUGGGAAGGCACAGACAGCCAGGAUGUUGGCUUAGAAGCAGCCAUCAUUUAAAGAAAGCGUAAUAGCUCACUGGUCGAGUCGGCCUGCGCGGAAGAUGUAACGGGGCUAAACCAUGCACCGAAGCUGCGGCAGCGACACUAUGUGUUGUUGGGUAGGGGAGCGUUCUGUAAGCCUGCGAAGGUGACCUGUGAGGGUUGCUGGAGGUAUCAGAAGUGCGAAUGCUGACAUAAGUAACGAUAAAGCGGGUGAAAAGCCCGCUCGCCGGAAGACCAAGGGUUCCUGUCCAACGUUAAUCGGGGCAGGGUGAGUCGACCCCUAAGGCGAGGCCGAAAGGCGUAGUCGAUGGGAAACAGGUUAAUAUUCCUGUACUUGGUGUUACUGCGAAGGGGGGACGGAGAAGGCUAUGUUAGCCGGGCGACGGUUGUCCCGGUUUAAGCAUGUAGGCUGGUUAUCCAGGCAAAUCCGGAUAAUCAAGGCUGAGGUGUGAUGACGAGGCACUACGGUGCUGAAGUAACAAAUGCCCUGCUUCCAGGAAAAGCCUCUAAGCAUCAGGUAACAUCAAAUCGUACCCCAAACCGACACAGGUGGUCAGGUAGAGAAUACCAAGGCGCUUGAGAGAACUCGGGUGAAGGAACUAGGCAAAAUGGUGCCGUAACUUCGGGAGAAGGCACGCUGGUGUGUAGGUGAAGUCCCUGCGGAUGGAGCUGAGACCAGUCGAAGAUACCAGCUGGCUGCAACUGUUUAUUAAAAACACAGCACUGUGCAAACACGAAAGUGGACGUAUACGGUGUGACGCCUGCCCGGUGCCGGAAGGUUAAUUGAUGGGGUUAUCCGUAAGGAGAAGCUCUUGAUCGAAGCCCCGGUAAACGGCGGCCGUAACUAUAACGGUCCUAAGGUAGCGAAAUUCCUUGUCGGGUAAGUUCCGACCUGCACGAAUGGCGUAAUGAUGGCCAGGCUGUCUCCACCCGAGACUCAGUGAAAUUGAACUCGCUGUGAAGAUGCAGUGUACCCGCGGCAAGACGGAAAGACCCCGUGAACCUUUACUAUAGCUUGACACUGAACAUUGAGCCUUGAUGUGUAGGAUAGGUGGGAGGCUUUGAAGCGUGGACGCCAGUCUGCGUGGAGCCAACCUUGAAAUACCACCCUUUAAUGUUUGAUGUUCUAACGUUGGCCCCUUAUCGGGGUUGCGGACAGUGUCUGGUGGGUAGUUUGACUGGGGCGGUCUCCUCCCAAAGCGUAACGGAGGAGCACGAAGGUUAGCUAAUCCUGGUCGGACAUCAGGAGGUUAGUGCAAUGGCAUAAGCUAGCUUGACUGCGAGCGUGACGGCGCGAGCAGGUGCGAAAGCAGGUCAUAGUGAUCCGGUGGUUCUGAAUGGAAGGGCCAUCGCUCAACGGAUAAAAGGUACUCCGGGGAUAACAGGCUGAUACCGCCCAAGAGUUCAUAUCGACGGCGGUGUUUGGCACCUCGAUGUCGGCUCAUCACAUCCUGGGGCUGAAGUAGGUCCCAAGGGUAUGGCUGUUCGCCAUUUAAAGUGGUACGCGAGCUGGGUUUAGAACGUCGUGAGACAGUUCGGUCCCUAUCUGCCGUGGGCGCUGGAGAAUUGAGGGGGGCUGCUCCUAGUACGAGAGGACCGGAGUGGACGCAUCACUGGUGUUCGGGUUGUCAUGCCAAUGGCACUGCCCGGUAGCUAAAUGCGGAAGAGAUAAGUGCUGAAAGCAUCUAAGCACGAAACUUGCCCCGAGAUGAGUUCUCCCUGAGACUUUAAGUCUCCUGAAGGAACGUUAAAGACGAUGACGUUGAUAGGCCGGGUGUGUAAGCGCAGCGAUGCGUUGAGCUAACCGGUACUAAUGAACCGUGAGGCUUAACCUU